rnacentral:rRNA from 1 species
GACGAACGCUGGCGGCGUGCUUAACACAUGCAAGUCGAACGGAAAGGCUCUGCUUUUGUGGGGUGCUCGAGUGGCGAACGGGUGAGUAACACGUGAGUAACCUGCCCUUGACUUUUGGAUAACUUCAGUAAACUUGGGCUAAUACCGGAUAGGAGCUCCUGCUUCAUGGUUGGGGUUGGAAAGUUUCGGCGGUUGGGGAUGGACUCGCGGCUUAUCAGCUUGUUGGUGUGGUAGUGGCUUACCAAGGCUUUGACGGGUAGCCGGCCUGAGAGGGUGACCGGCCACAUUGGGACUGAGAUACGGCACAGACUCCUAAGGGAGGCAGCAGUGGGGAAUAUUGCACAAUGGGCGGAAGCCUGAUGCAGCAACGCCGCGUGAGGGAUGACGGACUGCGGGUUGUAAACAGCUUUCGCCUGUGACGAAGCGUGAGUGACGGUAAUGGGUAAAGAAGCACCGGCUAACUACGUG